CGACGAGUGGCGAACGGGUGAGUAACACGUGAGUAACCUGCCCACAACUUUGGGAUAACGCUAGGAAACUGGUGCUAAUACUGGAUAUGUGCUCCUGCUGCAUGGUGGGGGUUGGAAAGUUUCGGCGGUUGGGGAUGGACUCGCGGCUUAUCAGCUUGUUGGUGGGGUAGUGGCUUACCAAGGCUUUGACGGGUAGCCGGCCUGAGAGGGUGACCGGCCACACUGGAACUGAGACACGGUCCAG
rnacentral:rRNA from 1 species